UACGGGGGGGGCAAGCGUUGUUCGGAAUUACUGGGCGUAAAGGGCUCGUAGGCGGCCAACUAAGUCGGAUGUGAAAUCCCCAGGCUUAACCUGGGAACUGCAUCCGAUACUGGAUGGCUUGAAUCCGGGAGAGGGAUGCGGAAUUCCAGGUGUAGCGGUGAAAUGCGUAGAUAUCUGGAGGAACACCGGUGGCGAAGGCGGCAUCCUGGACCGGCAUUGACGCUGAAGGAGCGAAAGCCAGGGGAGCAAACGGG
rnacentral:rRNA from 1 species